GACGAACGCUGGCGGCGUGCUUAACACAUGCAAGUCGAACGAUGAAGCCUAGCUUGCUGGGUGGAAGAGUGGCGAACGAGUGAGUAACACGUGAGUAACCUGCCCUGAACUCUGGGAUAAGCACUGGAAACGGUGUCUAAUACUGGAUAUGACCCUGUACCGCAUGGUGUGGGGUGGAAAGAUUUAUCGGUUUUGGAUGGACUCGCGGCCUAUCAGCUAGAUGGUGAGGUAAUGGCUCACCAUGGCGACGACGGGUAGCCGGCCUGAGAGGGUGACCGGCCACACUGGGACUGAGACACGGCCCAGACUCCUACGGGAGGCAGCAGUGGGGAAUAUUGCACAAUGGGCGCAAGCCUGAUGCAGCAACGCCGCGUGAGGGAUGACGGCCUUCGGGUUGUAAACCUCUUUUAGUAGGGAAGAAGCGAAAGUGACGGU
rnacentral:rRNA from 1 species